rnacentral:rRNA from 1 species
AUUGAACGCUGGCGGCAGGCCUAACACAUGCAAGUCGAGCGGGGAAGAGUAGCUUGCUACUUAACCUAGCGGCGGACGGGUGAGUAAUGCUUAGGAAUCUGCCUAUUAGUGGGGGACAACAUCUCGAAAGGGAUGCUAAUACCGCAUACGUCCUACGGGAGAAAGCAGGGGAUCUUCGGACCUCGCGCUAAUAGAUGAGCCGAAGUCGGAUUAGCUAGUUGGUGGGGUAAAGGCCUACCAAGGCGACGAUCUGUAGCGGGUCUGAGAGGAAGAUCCGCCACACUGGGACUGAGACACGGCCCAGACUCCUACGGGAGGCAGCAGUGGGGAAUAUUGGGCAAUGGGGGGAACCCUGAUCCAGCCAUGCCGCGUGUGUGAAGAAGGCCUUUUGGUUGUAAAGCACUUUAAGCGAGGAGGAGGCUACCGAGAUUAAUACUCUUGGAUAGUGGACGUUACUCGCAGAAUAAGCACCGGCUAACUCUGUGCCAGCCGCCGCGGUAACAC